CAUGGUGAAGUUGCUGUGAAAGCCAAAGGCACUUUUCAAUUAUUUAUAUAAUUUCACAUUUUCUUGGCAGUCAGAUUGUUUUGACACUAUUGCACAAACAUAUGAUCAUUUUAGAUGUUCCUUUAUUUAAUGAAAGAUAAUAAGACUGGCUUCCAUCAUUUUUCAGAUGUUGUACAACUACAGGACUCUCAAUCUCACUCAAGUUGAUGGGUCAGUUGCACGAAUGGUAACUGUAAUUCACACUGGUCACGGGAAAAAGUGCCGCUGUGUGGGAAUCAAUUGUAGUUUCUCCGGAAAAGAUGUUACAGCCAGUGUAUGAAGACUGAACUUUUGAUAGGUCACAGGUGCUCUCGCAAAGACUGAUGGCCUGGCAGCAUAAACUAUUCUAUGGUUAUAGGGGUAAUGUCUUUAAACAGAAGCAUGCUGUUGUGGAGUGAAAGUGCACAAACCAUUGAUAACCCUUUGGAGAAUCAGUACCAGAUGUCUUUUCAAAUAUUUGCCAUUCUGAAGUUUUUUUUGACUGAGCAGUGUCAAACAGUCUUCGGAUCCUAGAGAAUCAGUUCCUCCAAAUGAACAAAUCACCAGUCAUAAAAAUUAUGGGCAGAGAUAUUUCAUGGAAGAGAGAUAACAUGACAAUACAAAAAUAGGUGUUGCAAUGGAUUCGGAGGUGAAGUCAUGAGGAGUUGUUGUGAUGGCAGAAGAAUGAGUGAUCAUUUAGCAUUUUGAACAAGGCUGUACGAGUGGUCCAGUUAAACAGAGAUUACAAACAAUUAAAACUAUAAUUUGAUAUUACAUCUACUUGUGAUUGAUGAAAGUAAUUCAAAGUAUCAUUUGGACAGAUCUGAUGAGUUAACAAAUAUUUGAAAGUAUACGAGGAACAUUUUACACACCUUCAUUAUUAGUAUGUUGUAUAGUAAAUAUAAUAAACAAUUAAAGUUGAAAAACUGAA
rnacentral:lncRNA from 1 species